rnacentral:rRNA from 1 species
UAGUCCAUGCCGUAAACGUUGUGAACUAGAUGUGGGAGGAUUAAGCCCCUUCCGUGUCCAAGCUAACGCGAUAAGUUCACCGCCUGGGGACUACGGCCGCAAGGCUAAAACUCAAAGGAAUUGACGGGGACCCGCACAAGCGGUGGAGCAUGUGGCUUAAUUCGAGGCAACGCGAAGAACCUUACCUGGGUUUGACAUAUUUCUGACCGCCCUAGAGAUAGGGCUUCUCUUCGGAGCAGAUAUACAGGUGCUGCAUGGCUGUCGUCAGCUCGUGUCGUGAGAUGUUCGGUUAAGUCCGGCAACGAGCGCAACCCAUGUCGUUAGUUGCAAACAGUUCGGCUGUGCACUCUAGCGAGACUGCCCGUGUCGAGCGGGAGGAAGGCGUGGACGACGUCAAGUCCGUAUGGCCCUUAUGCCCAGGGCUGCACACGUGCUACAAUGGCCGGAACAAUGGGACGCAAUGCCGCGAGGCGGAGCAAAUCCUUAACAUCGGCCCC